GGUUAAGCGACUAAGCGUACACGGUGGAUGCCCUGGCAGUCAGAGGCGAUGAAGGACGUGCUAAUCUGCGAUAAGCGUCGGUAAGGUGAUAUGAACCGUUAUAACCGGCGAUUUCCGAAUGGGGAAACCCAGUGUGNNNNNNNNNNNNNNNNNNNNNNNNNNNNNNNNNNNNNNNNNNNNNNNNNNNNNNNNNNNNNNNNNNNNNNNNNNNNNNNNNNNNNNNNNNNNNNUGUGAGCUCGAUGAGUAGGGCGGGACACGUGGUAUCCUGUCUGAAUAUGGGGGGACCAUCCUCCAAGGCUAAAUACUCCUGACUGACCGAUAGUGAACCAGUACCGUGAGGGAAAGGCGAAAAGAACCCCGGCGAGGGGAGUGAAAAAGAACCUGAAACCGUGUACGUACAAGCAGUGGGAGCACGCUUAGGCGUGUGACUGCGUACCUUUUGUAUAAUGGGUCAGCGACUUAUAUUCUGUAGCAAGGUUAACCGAAUAGGGGAGCCGAAGGGAAACCGAGUCUUAACUGGGCGUUAAGUUGCAGGGUAUAGACCCGAAACCCGGUGAUCUAGCCAUGGGCAGGUUGAAGGUUGGGUAACACUAACUGGAGGACCGAACCGACUAAUGUUGAAAAAUUAGCGGAUGACUUGUGGCUGGGGGUGAAAGGCCAAUCAAACCGGGAGAUAGCUGGUUCUCCCCGAAAGCUAUUUAGGUAGCGCCUCGUGAAUUCAUCUCCGGGGGUAGAGCACUGUUUCGGCAAGGGGGUCAUCCCGACUUACCAACCCGAUGCAAACUGCGAAUACCGGAGAAUGUUAUCACGGGAGACACACGGCGGGUGCUAACGUCCGUCGUGAAGAGGGAAACAACCCAGACCGCCAGCUAAGGUCCCAAAGUCAUGGUUAAGUGGGAAACGAUGUGGGAAGGCCCAGACAGCCAGGAUGUUGGCUUAGAAGCAGCCAUCAUUUAAAGAAAGCGUAAUAGCUCACUGGUCGAGUCGGCCUGCGCGGAAGAUGUAACGGGGCUAAACCAUGCACCGAAGCUGCGGCAGCGACGCUUAUGCGUUGUUGGGUAGGGGAGCGUUCUGUAAGCCUGCGAAGGUGUGCUGUGAGGCAUGCUGGAGGUAUCAGAAGUGCGAAUGCUGACAUAAGUAACGAUAAAGCGGGUGAAAAGCCCGCUCGCCGGAAGACCAAGGGUUCCUGUCCAACGUUAAUCGGGGCAGGGUGAGUCGACCCCUAAGGCGAGGCCGAAAGGCGUAGUCGAUGGGAAACAGGUUAAUAUUCCUGUACUUGGUGUUACUGCGAAGGGGGGACGGAGAAGGCUAUGUUGGCCGGGCGACGGUUGUCCCGGUUUAAGCGUGUAGGCUGGUUUUCCAGGCAAAUCCGGAAAAUCAAGGCUGAGGCGUGAUGACGAGGCACUACGGUGCUGAAGCAACAAAUGCCCUGCUUCCAGGAAAAGCCUCUAAGCAUCAGGUAACAUCAAAUCGUACCCCAAACCGACACAGGUGGUCAGGUAGAGAAUACCAAGGCGCUUGAGAGAACUCGGGUGAAGGAACUAGGCAAAAUGGUGCCGUAACUUCGGGAGAAGGCACGCUGAUAUGUAGGUGAAGUCCCUUGCGGAUGGAGCUGAAAUCAGUCGAAGAUACCAGCUGGCUGCAACUGUUUAUUAAAAACACAGCACUGUGCAAACACGAAAGUGGACGUAUACGGUGUGACGCCUGCCCGGUGCCGGAAGGUUAAUUGAUGGGGUCAGCGCAAGCGAAGCUCUUGAUCGAAGCCCCGGUAAACGGCGGCCGUAACUAUAACGGUCCUAAGGUAGCGAAAUUCCUUGUCGGGUAAGUUCCGACCUGCACGAAUGGCGUAAUGAUGGCCAGGCUGUCUCCACCCGAGACUCAGUGAAAUUGAACUCGCUGUGAAGAUGCAGUGUACCCGCGGCAAGACGGAAAGACCCCGUGAACCUUUACUAUAGCUUGACACUGAACAUUGAGCCUUGAUGUGUAGGAUAGGUGGGAGGCUUUGAAGUGUGGACGCCAGUCUGCAUGGAGCCGACCUUGAAAUACCACCCUUUAAUGUUUGAUGUUCUAACGUUGACCCGUAAUCCGGGUUGCGGACAGUGUCUGGUGGGUAGUUUGACUGGGGCGGUCUCCUCCUAAAGAGUAACGGAGGAGCACGAAGGUUGGCUAAUCCUGGUCGGACAUCAGGAGGUUAGUGCAAUGGCAUAAGCCAGCUUGACUGCGAGCGUGACGGCGCGAGCAGGUGCGAAAGCAGGUCAUAGUGAUCCGGUGGUUCUGAAUGGAAGGGCCAUCGCUCAACGGAUAAAAGGUACUCCGGGGAUAACAGGCUGAUACCGCCCAAGAGUUCAUAUCGACGGCGGUGUUUGGCACCUCGAUGUCGGCUCAUCACAUCCUGGGGCUGAAGUAGGUCCCAAGGGUAUGGCUGUUCGCCAUUUAAAGUGGUACGCGAGCUGGGUUUAGAACGUCGUGAGACAGUUCGGUCCCUAUCUGCCGUGGGCGCUGGAGAACUGAGGGGGGCUGCUCCUAGUACGAGAGGACCGGAGUGGACGCAUCACUGGUGUUCGGGUUGUCAUGCCAAUGGCACUGCCCGGUAGCUAAAUGCGGAAGAGAUAAGUGCUGAAAGCAUCUAAGCACGAAACUUGCCCCGAGAUGAGUUCUCCCUGACUCCUUGAGAGUCCUGAAGGAACGUUGAAGACGACGACGUUGAUAGGCCGGGUGUGUAAGCGCAGCGAUGCGUUGAGCUAACCGGUACUAAUGAACCGUGAGGCUUAACCUU
rnacentral:rRNA from 1 species